UUGGUGACUCAGCUAAGGCAUGAGCGAAUCUGUUCUGCUAGCUGCUCACUCUGUUUUUGCUCUCUCUAACGUAUCUGGAUAUCUGUGGUGCACCUGGUUGGGGGUGCUGUGUGACUGGGGCAUUCAGCUAUGUGUGGGCAGGAAAAGGGUUUCACUCAGUGUGAUGAAACUGGCCAAUUUCUGAUGGAUGGGGUCUGUCUGUUGUUCUUUGUGUUCAGAGGGUUUGGGUUCUGAAGAGGACCAGGAGUGAGUGAAUGAUUUCGUUGGAUGAGACGGAUGUGUCAUGAGACCGAGAAUUGACAGAAGACCACAUGGUGGUGGCCGUGGCUGUGUGCUGACCGACCAGCAGGAGUGGGCCGUGGUGGAAAUGGUGAGGGCCAGGAAUGUCCGAAAUAAAGCAUGCCAUUGAGGAGAACGAUGACACCGUUGUAAAUGUGGUAUCCAUCAGCCGACCAACAAUCUCCCGCCUUCUGAAGAGGCAUCAGAUAUCUAUGAAACACAUUUUCCUGGUGCCUUUUGAGAGAAACAAUGACCACGUGAAACAACUGCGGGCCGAGUAUGUUCCGGUACAGCACUAUAUACUGUAUUACUGUUACUAUUUGAUGCACAUGCUACUUCACAAUAUCAUAUUGGAACUGUACUGUAAAAAUAACUAACCAAAUUAUAUUUUUAGAGGGUGAUGGUGCUUUAUGUUGCUGUGAACCAUCACACGUAUAUCUUUGUUGAUGAAGCAGGCUUCAACCUGGCGAAAACUCAGCGCCAUGGGCGGAACCUCAUUGGCCAACGGGUGACCGUCCAAGUGCCAGGUGGGGGAAACAUCUCCAUGUGUGCAGCUAUCUCUGAAGACGGUGUGGUAGGACGUAGGCCAUUACUUGGAUCCUACAACGCUGCACACCUCAUUGUGUAAAUUGAGCAGGCCUGUCAAGGUGAAGGGGUCACCUAUUUCAUUGCGUUGGACAAUGUUAGGUUUCACCAUGCAGAGGUGGUUCAGUCAUGGUAUGGGCCCAUCCCUGAUUCGUAACUCUAUAUCUGCCCCCAUACUCUCCUUUCCUCAACCCUAUUGAGGAUUAAUUUUCAGCAUGGAGGUGGAAGGUGUACGAUCACCAUCCCCAUGAGCGUGCCACCCUCCUUCUGGCAAAAGUUUUUUCCUGCGGUGCAUGAACAAUGAGGACAUUCACUGUGAUGUGGAUGAGAAUUUAUGGCCAAAUGCUCAAGACAGGAUUGAUGCAAAUUAAUGUGUGCUAAAUGUUAGGUUUUAUUUUCAUUCAUUUAAUUUGUUUCAUUUAAUUUCUUACAUUUGAUUACAGACAGUAAACCUAUGUUGCAAUUAUAUCUGAAAUAAAUAAAUACAACAUUUGCAUGAA